rnacentral:misc_RNA from 1 species
UCAUUGGGUAACGCUUCUUGUCGCGACGUUUAUUUGAUUAUCAUAGAUAAGAUAUCUUGCAAGGAGCGUAUUUUAAGAAAUCUCUUUCUUUCUUUUUCUCUUGCAAAGAACAUUCUUCAACAUGAUUGGAAUCUUCUCAUUCGCAAUUAUACUGUCUGGCUUUUUACAUAACACUGUUUACUCACAAAAGGAAUAUUCGUGGUGUUAUGAUUGCAACACAGAUUUAAGGCAUGGACAUAAAGGAGAAUGCAACGAUCCAUACACACCCAAUGCUUUCGAUUUAGUCGCCUGUCCUCGAAAUGAAUCUCAUCAUUGCCACAAAACUGCUAAAAUUAUCGGACUUUAUGAAUCGGGAGUAAACAGAAAUAAAAUCGCUCAAACGGUAGGAUGUAGUGGACGCACAGUGAGUAGAUGGAUCAUACAAAAUAUCGAACGAAAAACUCGGAAUCUCUAAAAGAUUACCGAAAAAACAAUGCAAGACCAAGGCAAACUACAGCACAAUAAGAUAACAAUAUUGUUGAAUUUGUUAAAAAUUCUUCCAAUGCUGCUACAACAGUUUACGCAAUAAUUUUCCAAUUUUGGAAAGCACGGUGAGACAUCGGCUGAAAUUGACUCGUUCGCAUCCACCAUCGGAAAAAGUUGCAUUUACAGAAAAUCAUAGAAAUAAAAUCGGGACAGUCCAAUUCCAUUCACAAAAAAACAUGAAUUUUUUGUGUAAUCUGAUUGUUAACCCAAUAAUAUGGUUUGUGUACUCUUCUUUCGUCACUGUCGAGUGCGCUACAGGAAUAGAGGCAUAUACAUUAGAGUCCGACCAAAACCACUUUUUUUUGUUUCGGCCGAAACCGAAAACGAAUAUUCAGUCUUCUUUGAAUUUUGGCCGAAACCGAAACCGAAAACCGAAACUUAUGAAAAAAUUUAUAAAAUAUUAUAUAUAUAACUUAAGAGAUUGUUGGAAAAAUGUAUAUUUAAUAUUUAAGUACUCUGUUAUCGAAUAAGCUUUUUAUCAGUUAUUAAACAAGCUUUUAUUUAA